UAAUGCUUCAUCAGUAGGUGGCCUAUAUUCGGCAUUGUGCUCCAAGCGUUGUCUUCUUUAAAAUUUCUUGGUGAAUCACUGGUUUGCUCCGUGGUUUUGAAAUAGCAAAACAAGCUGGUGACGCUCACCUGACGGUUGGCCUGGCGCACGGCGGCUUGAGCGGAGACGAAUGGAGGCACCCGGAGCGCCGCGGCGCUACCACGGACCGCCUCAAGACGCAGGCUCGCGCCGCGGCGCCCCGCCGCUGGAUCGAACACGGUGACGUCAUCGGAGUAGAAACAGAUGCUUCUUCUACCGAAACUUACCAGCGUUGACUAAAUACAAUUCGCCCGUUCUUCCUUUAUUGUACUAACUCAUUGGCUAUUAUAAUAUAGCAUUGCAACAGAGAUAAGUUAGAAUUGUAAAUGUUUAAAUGCUCUAACCGGUUAACUUUUUUCAAUUUUUAUUUAGUUUACUUCAUAAUUGAAUGGUAAAAAUUGAUUUCGAAAGAAAAUUUUUUUUCACUUUUUAAAACUUAUUUCUUAUAAAUUCUUUUAAAAAUGUAUCUUCGAUAUUUGAGAACACUAUGCAAUGUUUCCUGAAAAGUAAAUUUAUCUAACGAUUUAGAAUGUGUAAUUAGUUACGUUGACAAAAUCGCUAUAAAAGUGUCAGCAUUGUGACAUCUGAAAUCAAGAUUGUGUUAUUAGGAAUUAUGAAUGAGGAGAUUUUUUCAUUUAUUCCAGCUGCACCAGAUCUCAUCUCGAAGUCACUGAAACCUGUCAUUGCAGCCACCACAGUUAAUAGUCAUUGAGAAUGCAGCUUCCACACCACCAUAAAAAAUGUGGGGUUAAACAAUUUUUAAUUAGAGGUGGUGGACUAAGUAAAAGAAGUUUAUGUAAGAAAGUGAAUAGCAUUACUACGAUUAUAUAUUAGAAUAUACAACAAUGAUAUAACUGGUGAAAGUUUGUAUUUCAACUUUUUAUUAUUACUAAAUGUUACAUAAAUUUUAUAACAAAAAAGUAAAAUUUGCACGAAGAGGACUAACAAAUUAGGUUCACUAUGUAUUUAUAUCAUUCUUAUUUAUUUCCGUGUUCCAAAAAUAUAGAUUCUAAAAUGAUAAAAUG